rnacentral:rRNA from 1 species
AGUGAACGCUGGCGGUAGGCCUAACACAUGCAAGUCGAACGGCAGCACAGUAAGAGCUUGCUCUUACGGGUGGCGAGUGGCGGACGGGUGAGGAAUACAUCGGAAUCUACUUUUUCGUGGGGGAUAACGUAGGGAAACUUACGCUAAUACCGCAUACGACCUACGGGUGAAAGCAGGGGAUCUUCAGACCUUGCGCGAUUGAAUGAGCCGAUGUCGGAUUAGCUGGUUGGCGGGGUAAAGGCCCACCAAGGCGACGAUCCGUAGCUGGUCUGAGAGGAUGAUCAGCCACACUGGAACUGAGACACGGUCCAGACUCCUACGGGAGGCAGCAGUGGGGAAUAUUGGACAAUGGGCGCAAGCCUGAUCCAGCCAUACCGCGUGGGUGAAGAAGGCCUUCGGGUUGUAAAGCCCUUUUGUUGGGAAAGAAAAGCAGCAGGUUAAUACCCCGCUGUUCUGACGGUACCCAAAGAAUAAGCACCGGCUAACUUCGUG